AGCCCUGGUAGUAUUUCAGAUUACACUAGCCUUGUUUACCAGAAAUGAAAUACGCAUUUCCAAGGGGA
rnacentral:tRNA from 1 species